UGUGUAAUGGGGGUUUUUAUUGUUUUUACCCGCAGCAUGCUUAACUGAAAGAAUGUUAACCUAGUUUCAAUAAAUGAAAAACAAGAGCUGAAGACUCCAUAACCUGAAGGUGUGGUGAUAAACCUUCUGGAAGCCACCGGAGGCAAGCACCUGCUUAUUUCUAACGUUCACUUCUCUUCCACCCUGCCUGGAGGAAGAGCAUCCUUCCAGAGGAAAACU
rnacentral:lncRNA from 1 species